UUGAGAGUUUGAUCCUGGCUCAGAACGAACGCUGGCGGCAGGCCUAACACAUGCAAGUCGAGCGCGCCUUCGGGUGAGCGGCGGACGGGUUAGUAACGCGUGGGAACGUACCCUUUUCUGCGGAAUAGCCUCUGGAAACGGAGAGUAAUACCGUAUACGCCCUUUGGGGGAAAGAUUUAUCGGAGAAGGAUCGGCCCGCGUUAGAUUAGAUAGUUGGUGGGGUAACGGCCUACCAAGCCUACGAUCUAUAGCUGGUUUUAGAGGAUGAUCAGCAACACUGGGACUGAGACACGGCCCAGACUCCUACUGGAGGCAGCAGUGGGGAAUAUUGCGCAAUGG
rnacentral:rRNA from 1 species